rnacentral:rRNA from 1 species
UACGAAGGGGGCUAGCGUUGUUCGGAAUUACUGGGCGUAAAGCGUAUGCAGGCGGAUCUCUAAGUCGGGGGUGAAAUCCUGAGGCUCAACCUCAGAACUGCCUUCGAUACUGGACGAUCUUGAGUCCGGGGAGAGGUGAGUGGAACUGGCGAGUGUAGAGGUGAAAUUCGUAGAUAUUCGCAAAGAACACCAGUGGCGAAGGCGGACUCACUGGCCCGGUA